UGUUUCUUUAGUUCUAUUAGAGACCCUUUGUUCUUUCUUUGGUAAACAGUGAUCUAAAUUAUCAUAUAUGCUGCUGUAUUCUACAGUGAUUAAUUAGCAUAAGCUAUUCAAACACACCAAGGCAUUUCUAUUUUAAAAUCCAUCCUUGAAGAGAAAAUAACACUAUAAGAUAAUUGCUAGUAACAGUAUUCAUUUUCUAUAUAUCUAUUUAACUUAUUUACAAUGUGAAUUUUAAAAGUGAGUAUUUUGUUUGCACAUUUCUUUUUCCUGUUUGCAUUUUACUCUACAGUCUCCACUCACUUUUUCCAGUUCCUGCUUUAAGCCCUUGCUUACCUUCAUGUGAUCUUCGUCUGACUCUUAGGAGUUAUUUUUCUCUAGCUAAAUUCUUUUAAAAUCUAGCCAUGUUUUAGAUAUAAAUACAAAACAAAGUGAAUUUGAAUCCUUUUUUUUUUUUUGCCAAAAUAAUCCCAUUUUCAAGCUAUGCUCUGGGAUCCUAAGAGUCUUUGAAGAUGCCUUCCUGGGAGUGGGGUUAGAGUAGGUGGGACGCUUGGGCCUUCUGCCAAACCUCAGCUUCACUUUAUCCUGCUA
rnacentral:lncRNA from 1 species